rnacentral:rRNA from 1 species
AGCGGUGAAAUGCGUAGAUAUAGGAAGGAACACCAGUGGCGAAGGCGGCUACCUGUCAA